UAUCUAGGGUUGUAGAUGGUUUUGUUUGG
rnacentral:piRNA from 1 species